GGCCGGAAGCGGAAGAAGGGGACGGAGACCUGCAUCCAAGCUGUACCACCUGAGACGUGGGCGGUCCCAGUGACCGGGAGCCAGAACUCGAGCGGAACAGGCGAGCAGGAGCGCGGAGGGCUUUGCAGCGUCGGCGUCUGUGCGUGGGCUAAAUAUCAGGGCCUCUACCAGGGGUACAUGGGCACCCCCUAACUAGAUUCCUGUUGGCUGGCGGCGGCUGACACCGAAGGUAAAAGACCUUUUGGGGAAAGAAACCAGUUGUGAAAAGCUCUUGAGCUAAACUUCCUCCGCAAACUGGGGCGCACGCGCGUGGCCAAACUCUGGCAGUGGGACUAUCCCGGAGCACUCGGUCCCUGGAAUCAUGUUCUGGAAACCGCCGCGACGUGCGCAGUUCUCGGGCCUGGCCCUCGUAUCAUCGCACUGAAUCCUAGGAACGUCGUGCCAUUCCCAUUUCACAGACCGAAGUCCAGAAUGGGGAAGCGACUUGUCUUAGGCUUCCUGGCCACUCUGGGGACCGUGGCCGUGGCAGCGUCCUUAGACACCUGUCUCCAAGGCUCGGCAGAAGGGGGAGGUACCGGGCCCUGACGGCUGAUGUCCAAGCACCACCUGGGUGACAGAGCAAGACCCAGUCCCAAAGAAGAGUAGAAAGCAGCAACCCAACUUGGUCCCCCAAAUGUUGGAAGGUAUCUUUGCUUAUCCUUGCAUUCUCAAAGGCAGGUAACAUUAGUGCCCUAGGUCCUCCUGGAUACAUGGACACAGGCAUGGUAGUCCCUGCAGGCAGGGGUAGGGGGGAGCUGCAGCCUGUCCCAAAGUUCUAGAGAUGCUGAUAGGAGGCCAAGCUCUGCACCCUAAUAUCCUCCAGCUGUGUCCUGUGUGUAUCAGAGUAAAGUCACAUCCUUGAGACACCACAUAUCAGCAGAGCUGUUAAACAUAGGCACAGUGAACUUGGGAAAAUGUAACUAUAGGCACCCUACAGCACAGCUGAGUGUCAGAUACUUCCACUGACAUGCUGUGUGUUUUAGUUUUCAAAACUCUGGGGUAGGUAUUUUCACCCCCCAAAUGGGGACAUGUGCACAGGAGUGAAGAGAUGAGCUCAGAGCCACACAGCUGGUGGGUGGCAGGCCUGGGUUCAACCUCAUCCUGCCCUCAAAGCCACUUCGCCCAUGGCCUUUUGUUGGGGAGGGGAGUGUAUUCUGCACCAAGCUUUUGCCAGGAAUCCCUGCUAGCUCUGAAACUGGCUCUGGACUGACUGUAGUCUUACAGGCUGGAAGGAACCCUUGGUUUGCUCUGUGAGAUUGCAUGUCUUAAGGUGUAGCUGUUUCUUCAUUUGUGAAAUUAAGCAGAUACGGAUAAGAUGACCUAUUCCAAAGUGAAAAACUAGAAAACCAAAGUCUUAGCCUACAGUUUCAGGGAAGAGGGGGAACUUAAAAGAUGAUCACUUUAUAGUCAAGGGAGAACUAUUUUUUUUGGAGUCAGCAACCACCAGCUAGUAAGGCAGCCGGGGGCCAGGGCCACAGGGUGGGCUGCCACACACACACACACACACAGCUCUAAGCCUCUGGUAUUUUGUUAAGGUGGGGGUAGUCACUGAGACCUAUGCUAUGGAGCCUCCUACGGAGGGCUGCUCUCUAGGCCAGGUAAAGUCUGGGUGAGACAAGAUAACGUUCCUUAAUGUGGCCCUGAAUGAAUAAAAUGUGAAGGUCCUCCCAAAUGCAGCAGCAGGCUAGCAGGUGGACUUCAAAGCACAGUGCCCUGUCCUGUCUCCCUGCAUUGCGGCUGUUGGGGUCUAGGUUUUUCUGGCUAAUCUACAAUCCAGGAAAGGGCUGAUUUGGCUGUGAAGGUCCAAAUGAGAAAAGAUUCUCAGACUGGUUUGUGCAAAUGGUUUUUUUUUUUUUUAUUUCCACAUUUAUAUCACAAGGUGUCCACUUACUGGACCAAAUAGCAAAGUUGCUCCCUUCUGCGUCCUGAGAACACAGAAGUCUAGGUACUGUACAUUCACUAAGGCUCCUUGUUUUUGCAAAUCGCGUUUAUGACAAAUAACCAUAAGGCAAACGAAUCUAAAGGAAUGGUUAUGAGUGUUUCCAGCGUACAGACAGGUCUCCCCCUCGCCCCACAGUACAGCAUAAAACCAGUAGCACCCACAGUCACUUUUGUGUUGUUUUGGGAGGACUCUAGAAAGGUGAAGUUUUCUAGAUGUGUACAGGAAGGGAAAAAAGAAAGGGAGGAAGAAAGGAAAGGUUUUUUUUUUGUCUGGUGGUCUGAUGGAAGGAGUUGUUAAAAUAAACAUGAAAAAACU
ensembl:lncRNA